rnacentral:lncRNA from 1 species
GCUGCGACUCAACUAGGUUUAAGGUUUUUGGUUGCUAGAACAAGGUAAUUCGCUGAUAGCUCUUGUGGCCGAAGCUUUUAUAAUCUCUUGUAAUGAUCGUAACGCUCUUACGCGGAUUUGAAAUAAUCUCUUGUAAUGAAAUAAGCUUUUAUAAAUUCGUUUUGUUAUCUUUUUAUAUUUUCCGUAUUUAUUUGGUCACUUGUCGUUGGCUCUCGCAGAGAAUGCGGGACCUCAGGGAAAGUUAGGGUUUCCUGACUUUCCUCCGAUUACGGAAAUUGACGGUGCAAAUUUCGGUUCCCACAACGGCCAUCACCAUCUCAAACUUAAAGGUCUCCGCCACCGCCUUAAGGGCAUCGAUCUCUUCUUCCAGCUCUUGAUUCUUUUGGCUCGUAGCCAAUGCAUCAGCUGAUGACGCCUCAGCCACCUUCUCCAGAUCUUUCACCUUGUCCUUAAUAUCACGGA